rnacentral:rRNA from 1 species
AACGAACGCUGGCGGCAUGCCUAACACAUGCAAGUCGAACGAAACCGUCGGGCCUGCUGGCUCACGGGUGCGUGACGGGGGGGAACCUGCCCGUAGGAUCGGCAUAGCUCCCCGGAAUGGGUGCGAAUACCGGGUAAUGUCUUCGGACCAAAGAUUUAUCGCCUUUGGUGGGGGCCGCGUUGGUUUAGCUAGUUGGGAGGGCGAACGCCUACCAAGGCGACGAUCCGUAGCUGGUCUGCGAGGAUGCUCAGCCACACUGGGACUGGGCCCCGGCCCAGACUGCUACGGGAGGCAGCGGUGGGGAAUAUUGGACAAUGGGCGUGAGGCUGAUCCAGCAAUGCCGGGUGAGUGAUGAAGGCGUUAGGGUCGUCAAGCUCUUUUACCCGGGCUGAUAAUGACGGUACCGGGAGAAUAAGCUCCGGCUAACUCCGUG